GAUACAAACAAGCAAAACACGAAUGAGAUGCAAGAACUUUAUUAGACAUAUAGAAUCGAGAUCAAAUACAGAGGUCAGCCUUUAUCAUACUCAUGUACAUGCAAAUCAGGAUGUAAAGGUGCAUGCAAUCAACAGUGCAAUUUAUGGACAUACACACAUUGGGAUGGCAAGUUGAUAAUAAUUUAUACAGAUGAUUUAAGGGCGAAUAUUUUUAAAGGAGACCUUCAAGGUACGCCUUCGCGGUGACAGCACUGGGAACGUGCCACAUCACCUGACACAGUUGACCGAACACGGCGCAAUCCACGGCGCAUGCGUCGUCACCAAAUAGGAACUUCUU